CAUGUCUUUUUGAAUUUGAUUUAAAGUCUGGCCUGCCCGUUGAUGAAUAAAUUAAAUGGCUGCAGUAUUUUAACUGUACUAAGGUAGCAUAAUAAUUAGUUUUUUAAUUGAAAACCAGAAUGAAUGGUUGAACGAGAAAAUAACUGUCUCUGUAUAAUUUAAAUUAGAAUUUAAUUUUUAAGUGAAAAAGCUUAAAUGUGAAUAAAAGACGAGAAGACCCUAUAGAGUUUAACAUUUUAUUAAAAUAAUAUUGUUGGUAUUUAUAGUUAUUAUUUUUAUAUAAUGUUUUGUUGGGGUGACAAUAAGAUUUAUGAAACUCUUAUUAAAUUUUUCAUUGAUGAAUGUUUAUUUGAUCUAGUUUUUUAAUUAAAAGAGUAAAUUACCUUAGGGAUAACAGCGUAAUCUUUAUAGAGAGUUCUAAUCGAAAUAAAGGGUUGCGACCUCGAUGUUGGAUUAAAGUUAAUUUUUGGCGUAAAGGUUAAAAAAUUGAGUCUGUUCGACUUUUAAAACUUUACAUGAUCUGAGU
rnacentral:rRNA from 1 species